GACGAGGUGGCCGAGUGGUCAUGGCGAUGGACUGCUAAUCCAUUGUGCUCUGCACGCGUGGGUUCGAAUCCUGUCCUCAUCG
rnacentral:tRNA from 2 species